AUGGACCUAAUCGUGUUCAGUUUUGGUGCAACUUCUGAUCCAAGUUAUGAGGAUGGAUUCAAAGGUUUUGAAUUGAAAAGAGAGGGCACACUGAAUGGAGCUCUUAUCAUCUCUGAUGUCAGUCUGUCAGACUCUGCUGUCUAUUACUGUGCUGAGAAAUGUAAGAAGUAUGUCACUCUUGUGUGUGUGGUCCAGAACUUCUACCCAGAUCAUCUCACAAUAAAAUGGGAAAUUGGAGGAACAGAAGUAACUGAAGGUGUGGCAACAGACAAUGAAGCCACCAAAAAUGGAAUAAAUAUGUUCGACAUGUCCAGCAGACUCAAAGUCUCUAGAAAGAAAUGGAACAAAGCAGAAAACACAUUCACCUGCUCAUACAGUUUCUAUAAUGGAAGUAUAUAUACUACAGAUUUCCGCACAGUUAAAGGAACUGCAGAGAGUGGAUUCAACAGAGAGGACCACAUAAAAUCAGCACAGAUGGUAAAGCUGGGAUAUGGUGUGUUCAUUGCUAAGAGUGGACUGUACGGCCUUAUCAUCUUGGUAUUUGUAUGGAGAAAGGGUUCAGCUGGCAAGUGAGGACAUUGAACUUAAUUGAAACUUCGGAUUGUAGAAGUUACCAAGAGAACCAACAUCCAGCAACACUCGGAAAGGAAAUGUUCAACAUACUGUAACAUAUAAUGGAAAUUACUUUUCUCUCUUUCACUCUGUUUCUCUCGCAAUAUUUCUCUGUUUUGUGUGUUUUGAGGAUUUACCUCUAUAAAAGUGUGCUAAAAACUGCAUAGCAAAAUAUUAGUAGUAAUUGCAAAAAAUAGUAAUUGCAAAAUAUUUGUUUAAAUUGUGGUAAACUGUUAAUAGGGAAUAUUUUUUGUUUCAUUUUGCUUCUUUCUAUUUAGUAUUAAUUCACAUCAUAUUCUCAUACUAGUCUGGCAGACUUGUUUACAGAGUUAUUAUAUAAAACAUAUAAUUAUUAUAUUUACUAUGACCUUGUAUUUCUCUCUGUUUUCUGAAUUUGUUUCAUAUAUAAAUAAAGCAAAAUCCAUAGUAUCUAAGAAAAUCCAGAAAAGCAUCCUCAAUUGUUCUAUAGAAAUAUGAUCCACCAAUCUAGGCUACUAUUUAGAGCAAAAUGACUUAAAAAUUAUGAACUGUCUUUUUCUUAGAAGUAAAUUUAUAGUAAAUUGCAACACGUUAUACAUGCAAAGGGCUUAAAAGCAUCACUCAUGUAUUUUAACCUCAACAGUCAGUGCCUGCCAUCUAUAAUGAUAUUGAAUGUACAUAUUAGAUCAUGCAACAAUACAGUAACAUUCAUUAAUCAGCGGUUAGUAGUCACAUGUAUCAGUUUACUCAGGUAACACUUUCAAUAAGGUUCAAUUUGCUAAGAUUAGCAAAUGCAUUUUGUAUC